rnacentral:rRNA from 1 species
GACGAACGCUGGCGGCGUGCUUAACACAUGCAAGUGGAGCGACGAACCAGGCUUCGGCCUGGGGCAGAGCCGCGAACGGGUGAGUAACACGUGGGUAACCUGCCCCGAUGACCGGGACAACCCGAGGAAACUCGGGGCUAAUACCGGAUAGGUCCGCCCCGCAUAGGCGGGACGGGCAAAGGUAGCUUCGGCCUCCGCAUCGGGAUGGGCCCGCGGCCCAUUAGCUUGUUGGUGAGGUAACGGCUCACCAAGGCCGCGAUGGGUAGCUGGUCUGAGAGGACGAUCAGCCACACUGGGACUGAGACACGGCCCAGACUCCUACGGGAGGCAGCAGUGGGGAAUCUUGCGCAAUGCGCGAAAGCGUGACGCAGCAACGCCGCGUGGGGAAGAC